AGUGGCGGACGGGUGAGUAACGCGUGGGUAACCUGCCUCAUACAGGGGGAUAACAGUUAGAAAUGACUGCUAAUACCGCAUAAGACCACAGCACCGCAUGGUGCGGGGGCAAAAACUCCGGUGGUAUGAGAUGGACCCGCGUCUGAUUAGGUAGUUGGUGGGGUAACGGCCUACCAAGCCGACGAUCAGUAGCCGACCUGAGAGGGUGACCGGCCACAUUGGGACUGAGACACGGCCCAA
rnacentral:rRNA from 1 species